rnacentral:lncRNA from 1 species
AAUAAGAUGCGGUACGCUAUAUUAAGAAGUAAAGUUCUUGCAUACACCAAAAUCCAUCCAAAUAAAAUCGGAAAUUCUCUGAAUUUUUAGUAUACAACAUACACCACUGGUAUGCAAAUAACUUAACUAAUUUCUUUGAGCUGCAAAAUAACUCAACUAAUCAGGAUCUCCUCUAGCUCAGAAACCUUCCAUCUGACAAAAGAAUCAUCGGCAGCCCCAAUAUCAAUCACCUCUUCUGUCCUGGUGGGAUCAUCUUCGGAAUUCUUCGCUCCUGCAGCAGAGGGGUCAUCUUUAGUCGUUUCACAUACACAUACAGCAGGGUUGGCAUAGAAUUCAGUUCUUUCUGGCAUGACUUCCAUGCAAUCUCAAAUAGAUCCUUUCUGGACUACUCGCACCUGCGAUGAGAAUUUAUAAAUAAGGUGUAGAGUUAUUUAAAAUUUUAUUGUGACCAAUAUAUCUCAUGAGAAAAGUAGUGUUACAAUUCACAAUGAACCAAGAGAUAUAGCUAACAAGGAUGUGCAACGAAACAACAGAAGCAGCAGAGCAUAGCAAGUAUCCUGACCAUGUUGCCAUUAUUGUCAUAAUCAAUUCCACCGCAGAUAAUCAAAUCAAUUGAAGUCAUGAGAAUGAAUGUGCCAAAAAUUGAGUCAACUCAUCUUUGCUUGACAAUGAUCCUUUUGUAUGGAAAUAUGGAAAGAGCGCUUUGAGGGCUUGUAACGUGUCUUCUUCGCCUCGCUACAAGCAGCAUAAAUAUGGACAUUGCUUCUGUGGCCUAAUGCUCCCAACAACAGCCCUACCUCCUUAGGAGUUUAGUGGGCACAUACCUUGCCUUCUUCCUUUCUCUUGGUUAUUUCUCUCAGAUCUGAACACAAAAAGUUGGCGAUAGGUAGCUUUACCUCACUAUCAAAGUAUUGUGACCUGAAAUUGCGCAUACAUGCAAGGUUUGCAUCGCUUCAAAAUGGCACCUUGAUCUCAGCUCUCCUUUUCUCUACCAUAGUAACACC